rnacentral:lncRNA from 1 species
AUUAUCCUAUCUAUUACAUUUUUGAGGUAUUUAAAUGCCUCUCAAAUAAUUAUAAAAUUAACUAAACAAGUAUAAGAAAAUUUAAAUGAACAUUCAAAUCAAAUAAACAAAGCAUAUAAAAAUAUAUAAACAUAUAGGAGCACGUAAGAGCACAUAAGAGCACGUAAUUGACAUUGAAAUAAUAAUAAUGAGGUACCUCCCUUUUGAAGUGGUGACUAAACGGAGUCAAAUUGCCCUAUUUAUACUCAAAAUGAACAAAAGAAUCACGGCACCAAUUUAAUUG